rnacentral:rRNA from 1 species
CCUACGGGAGGCAGCAGUGGGGAAUUUUGGACAAUGGGCGCAAGCCUGAUCCAGCAAUGCCGCGUGAGUGAAGAAGGCCUUCGGGUUGUAAAGCUCUUUUGUCAGGGAAGAAACGGUUGUCUCUAAUACAGAUGGCUAAUGACGGUACCUGAAGAAUAAGCACCGGCU